UACAGUGAAAUGGAGAAGCUGGGUCGAGACGUCCUGUAUCACGACACAGACUCCAUCAUCUACGCUACCAAUGGUGGCAAUGAUCCUCCCUUGGGUAACUUCUUAGGGGAAUUUACCGACGAACUGGAUGGAGAUAUUAUCAAAACCUUCGUGUCACGAGGUCCCAAAAACUAUGCGUACCAGACGGCCACUGGGAAAACCUCCUGCAAAGUGAGAGAAUUUUGUUGAACUUGCGCAAUUCCCACUUGCUGAAUUUUGAAGCCAUCAAAAGUCUGGUAUGUAGUCUAAACCAAAAGGAUGUCAUAACCCCUCCAAAAGGCACAACCCCUUCAAAAUUACCCGAGAACCAAAAAGAAGAAAAGUUGUGAAUAAACCCGAAACAAAAAAAAUACAAAGUUGUGUUGGACAAAAGAAGUAAUUCAAUCAGACUUAAGCACCUUACCACUUGGCUUUUAAAAAUAACUUUUGUAAAAUGUAUGGUAUGUACAAAAAAAUGUUUGUAUGUAAAAAGAUGAUAUGCACAAUAUCAUGCAUUUGUGUGUGUAUAAAAACUUAUUUAGAAAAAAAAAAAAGUAAACAGAAGUUUGAAAA